UUAUUACAUGCAGCUAUAUAUGAGAACCGGUUUUUAGAAUCAAUUGGCUGCAGUUACAUUUAAAUCCCAGGUAUUUUAUUCUCUUGCUUCUUUUGUUUUUAUUUUUACUCAUUUUUUGUAAUUUUAUUCAGAUACAUUGAAUCGAAUUCUCUAUCAGAUAUGUUAUCUGGUGAAGAAUAUGCAACACCCCUUUUUAACUUUUAAAAUUUUAAUUUCGGAUUGAAAAAACAAACGGUCACUUUAACCUUAUUUUCUUCAAAGAAAAGUAGUUAGAUGAGACUUAAUUGCUUGAGAUGGUGUUAAAUUUUCAGGGAUUUUGCUCCAGUUAAGUUCUUCUUUAAUUAAAGUCUUAGUCAGAGCCAAGGAAUGUGAGUUGUUGAAUUUAGUUUCUUUUCUAUUAGCAAAUAGGGACACUCUGGUGCAAUUAAAAUAUUAAGGUAGAUUAAUCAUUUUACAGGUUUUUCCUCCGCAAGUAGAAAUUUUCAUCAAGUAUGACUUGGUUCUUGAGUAAUUCACAUCUAAUGUUGAUGUGUAAAAUAUGAACAGAGGUGAUAUUUUGUAGAAAACUUAAUUGGUACUUAGAAUCUGCAUAAGCGGAAAUUUUGAUCAUGAUGCUCUCAGUUUUUGUAUCAUUUCAAGUUUACAAUUCUCAACUACCUUACCAAGGCUCGUCUUGUAAGCAUUAACUAUGAAAUGAUCCUUCAUUAUUUCACCAUCCUUAGCUUUUUCAAAAUGUAUAAAGUUAGGCAAAAGCCAUUGAUUAUCUUCAUGAGAAGGUGUUUAUUCAUAAAAUAAUAGCAUAGAAAGAGUGUUUUUUUUAUUUAAAAAAAAGCAUAGAAGGAGUUGGAUUUAACUGAAGUUACAUUUUUUGGCCACAAGAAUAUUGAAGAAAUCACAUUAAUCAUGAUGUUAUUGAUGAGUAAAGUCUUCCCUGAUGAACAGUUGAUAAAUGAACAAUACAUCCUUCGGAAAUUGAGGUUUCUUUAGGGCACAGCAGUGGUGAAUGUGCAGUGUCAAAGCAGCAUGAGAUACAUUGUGUGUGACUGGCUUCAAUUGUUAACUCAAAAGACGAAUAUUUCUAGUCUCAAGAGCACUUUUAUGCAACCAGCCAGAGAUACAGAGAAGAAGCUGUCCAAAUGACGAGUCUUUUUCAUAAGCAUAAAAGGCAAGAGGAUAGUGCCAGAUCCAAACAUAGUUUUAAAAGCUUACAGAAUUACUGGUUGCACCAAGUAGGGAGAUGAUGCAUCAUAAUCAUUCAGUAGUGGUCUAGCCUUAGCAGCGAAAGCAGUUCAGCCAGCAUUCCCCACUUAUCCGACUGUUGCUGAAAGCUGGGCAAACUUUUACUGAACCGACUAUUAUUGAAUCGGUUGCUGCUCCUACGAGGACUCUAUUCUUUAUCUUUCCAAUGAAAAGCACAACAGUACACCAAUGUCUGAUUCUUAUGUCAUUUUCGUUAAUAUGCAGAACAGGUUUUGCUACUCAUCCUAGCUUUCCUGGGAAUACAGAAUCCUGAGGCAAAAGCAUGGACGGCAAAAUGUGGACUCUGCAGCUGUAUUUUGUUGUACUGCCUUAUCUGACUUGUGGAUACAAAUAAUGGAUUUGGUAAGCCAUUGUUUAAUUUUAG
rnacentral:lncRNA from 1 species